AGAAGCUCAGGAGCCCCUGGUGAUUCCAAAGUCCUGACUGGGAAGGGGCAGCUGUCCCCGCAAGUCCAGGGAAGCGCAGCCCCCAGCAGCUGCAGGAACUCCUGGGGCCAGGCCAUCUUGCUGUCAGAACAACAAGCCUUCAUACCGGUUCCACAGCUCCAGGUUGGUUUCCAAGAUGGCGAUGUCUAGGAACAUCCUCUGGAGAAAGAUCCAGAAACUCAAAGCACCACCUCUUUGACUACAUCAUCCAAAGGACCCUGUAGAGAGUUCGCACCCAGAAGAAGGCCCUCACCAGAUGCGUACCCCUAGACCUUGGAGUUCCCGGCCUCUGAAACGGUUGCACAGAGCAUGGAGGAUCCCCAUCAAGAAGUGAUUGGUUUCUGCAGAGAGAACGGUUUCCAUGGCUUGGUUGCAUAUGACUCUGAUUAUGCACCAUGCAACAUCCCCUACUAUUUCAGUGCUCAUGCCCUAAAACUGAGCCGGAACGGGA